rnacentral:rRNA from 1 species
GUUAAAAAGCUCGUAGUUGGAUUUCUGGGAGGGUGCCAAUGUCCGCCGACGUGCGUGCGCAGCGGCGCCCUUCCAUCCUUCUGUUAACGCCUCUUGGCAUUCACUUGCUGGUGGCGGGCUCAGAUAUUUUACCUUGAGAAAAUUAGAGUGUUUCAGGCAGGCUAGGCCGGAAUACAUUAGCAUGGAAUAAUGGAAUAGGACUACGGUCUCUUUGUUGGUUUGAGGGACUGCAGUAAUGAUUAAUAGGGAUAGUUGGGGGCAUUAGUAUUUAAUUGUCAGAGGUGGAAUUCUCGGAUUUGUUAAAGACUAACUUAUGCGAAAGCAUUUGCCAAGGAUGCUUUCAUUAAUCAAGAACGAAAGUUAGGGGAUCAAAGACGAUCAGAUACCGUCCUAGUCUUAACCAUAAACUAUGCCGACUCGGGAUCGGGGGCGCGAACUAUCCGCCUUCGGCACCGUAUGAGAAAAUCAAAGUCUUUGGGGUUCUGGGGGGAGUAUGGUCGCAAGGCUGAAACUUAAAGGAAUUGACCGAAGGGCACCCCCCAGGCGU